rnacentral:snRNA from 1 species
CAACUUAUCUGGUGGGAUAGAUCUUACGAUUAAGAGGGUUUUCCCAGGGUGAGAUAUGCUGAGUUCUGCAAGUUCCCAAAUAUGGGAACCUUGACUACAUAUUUGUGUAGUGGGGGAUUGCUUUCUCACUUA